UGACGUUUCAGUAUUCUUCGCGCGGAUUGGUUGAAGGGGAAUACCGGCAGAGCUCCGCUCGACUAGCAGCAGAUGUCGCUGUUUACAAAGGGAAUAUCCUGUAUUGAGUUUAUGACUACAAAGACCCUCAUUCUGCCUGACACUGGAGACGGUGUCCUGAUAGAGCGAAGUCUGUGUCCUGGGACGGCCCUGUGCCAGCCAGCAAGAGAUGAUCCAUGCGUCCUGGCGUUGUCUUGGUUGUCCAGUGAUGUUGCUUCAUGAAUCAGGAUAGACUAGAGGCAACUACUGUAACCAAGAGAAGGUGCUUUUGCGAGCGCAGGUGAAACGGAGCUCUGACGAGGCUGAAUCGCACCACAAACCUUGGCCCAAGCCGCCGUUACUCAGUCAGCGCUGGACUUGCAGAACAGGUGCAAAACGAGAACUAUCCAAGUGAAAAUUCAGGUUUUUGUAUCUCCAUCUUCAGCUGCAUUGUCUUCAGCUGGUGUUCAUCCUUAAUUUUUAUUUGUAUUUAGUCUGCCUGUCAUAUUUUCCAUAAAACUACUUAUUAACAGAACAGCUCUCUCUAUCAAUCUUUUGCAAUCUGAUCUGGUUGGACUGCUGUUCCCUCUCUCGCGCA